GCCCAAGUGAGGAAAGAAGUUACCAAGAGGGUGACAGUGCCAUUCAUGGUGAUUGCUAGCUGUAAUUAAUUACACACUGACGAUGGCAGGCACUAUGGUCUUAAUAACAAGUUUAUACUUGCUUCAUGAAGCAAGUUGGGAAAUUCUCCCUUUUUAUCCUAUAUUCUGGAAGUAUGUAUAUAAGGUUCUGAGGAGCCCUUGCUAUGAAACAAAAGGGAGCUACUGGAAGAUACACCCCCUGGGAGUUGCCUUAGUGGUGUUUUACCUCACUGUAUCCAAGAGUGAGAAUAAGUGGUUGUAACCAUAACUCUUCAACAGCUGGCUGAAUAAACACAGAUGGUCAAUGCUCGACACCAACAUCCUCACAAACAUAUAUACGCAGAAUGGCCCUGAGCCACACAAAAGACAUUCCCAUGUCAGUAGAUGAAUGUUUAUCCUUAACCAUCACAGAACCUUCACCAGCAAUCCAGCUCCUUGGUGAUACAACUCAAGGGCUCUCAUUUUUCACCUCUAGAUCCAAAACUCUGUAGUUCACCACAUCCUGGACCAAAUGUCCCAGCUUCCUGCUUAGAAAGUAUAUAUGUCUUCAGUUCCACGAGCCUUCAUAAGGAAUUGAGAAAUGCUUCCUCUACUCUCUUACUAAGGAUAUGGGAUGUUUUGUUUUAUUGAACUAGGAAUUCUAUCAGAGGUUUCUUUGACAGCAAAUUAUGACUGUGGGCAAAGUGGACACAGUGCAAAGGAGAAUGAAGAAAAAGCUCCCACCGCCAAAAGAUAUUUUCCUCUCCCCAGAACACUUUGCCAGAACAAGCUAAUAAACUUCCUUUUGUGUUUCUGGUGAUCAAUGGCUGGUGGGAUAUAAUCUAACAACCCAUCACCCAGAAAUGACGGGGUAGAUAGAACACUAAAAUGACCUACUGAAGAAGAAUCAGUGACAGCACCAGGUUUGGAUGUCUUAGAGGAGUGCUUCCACAACAAUGAUUCUGCUGAACUGGAAGUUUGAGACUACUCCCUGGUUAUUUUGAAUUCCUUAUGGUAUUGGGUCAACAGUGAAAGAGAAGGGACACUUAUCAACUGGAGGAAUUGAUGCUGACCACCAAAGGGGAGUCAGGUUGCUGUUACAAAAUGGGGGCAGGAAGGACAAUGUAUGGAACUGAGGUAUUCUUUCAGAUGCCCCUAGUAUUUCCAUUUCCAAUAGCAAAAGUUAUUGGAAAAUUAUAACAACUAGAGAAAUGCAUAACCACUAAAGAUUCAGACCCUUUAAUAAUAUUUGAGUCACCUGACCAGUUAAAAGGAUUUAGGCCAGUUGAAAUGCUGGCUGAAGGUAAAGAAAACUUGAAAUGUUUCAUGCAAGAAGGAAGUUAUAAACACCAUUACAGCCCUCUAAAACUAGAACUAUAACAACUAUGUGUAUUUUACUUCCUUGCUUGUUACAUAAAUACAUAUAAAUAUAUAAUAUAUUACAUGAUA